AAAGCUUAUACAUAUUUGGUGGUUCACUUUAAGGGAAAGAAUACAAAAUUAUAAUUGUAAAAUUAGACACAAAAUUGAAUUUUUAUUUAAAAUAUCAAAAGAAAACACAACAAAUUACAAAUUUCAAAAGCUGACAAAUAUAGCAAAAAGUCACAAAGUCUGGGGAACAAACGUUUUUUUUGAAAGCUGCCUAACACGCCUUUGUAAAACUCCUUUCCUGCAUUUUUGGCUGCAUAGUAUGAUGACAAUUCUAUAUAUUUUUAAUAGAGAGAAUAGAUAUAUAAUUGUGUUUUUCUUUUUGUAUGGUUGACUUUUUUUUAGUUGUAAAUGGACAUAAUACCUUUAUUUUAUUUAUUUAUAUGGUGCCGAGGAUCUAACCCAGUGCCCCACACAUGUGAGACAAGAACUCUACCACUGAGCCACAACCCCAGCCUGAGGUUUUCAUUUUUUUAAUUUAUGGUUUCUAGAAGUUUCUGCCUUCAUAAAUCAUUAUAACAUCAUGCACUUUUUAAAAAUUGUCAAAUUUGGAAAUUUGGGAAACCUCUUCACAACUGGGGUCACUCAGGUGAAUUGGGCUGGCACGAACAAAUCACACAGACACAGAAAAUACCUUUUUUCUUGGGGCUUUUCAGGAUGGCUCCUCCUCCUCCAGCUUAAGCUCCCACAAGGGGCACAAGAGAAAAACACAGGAGACUGGAGGUUGGGG
rnacentral:lncRNA from 1 species